rnacentral:lncRNA from 1 species
GGGAAAGCUCGGAAGCACUGUGACUUGCCUUUGGGAAAUCUCUAGAGAAACCUCACUGCCCUUUCUCAGGAAAUGGAAGUCAGUGCAGUUAAGGACCUGGAAGCUUCCCUACUGCCCAGGUCUGCAAGUGCUUCUGAAAUUACUGAAAGAUCCAGUUUGGCUGAUGUUCCUUUGGAUCAGUGUCUUGGUGGGUUCUUUCAUCUAAAACAAGUGAAUGGACUGGAGUGUGUCAUUUCUACAAAGAAGCCAUCUUCCUCUCCCUCCAUUCCUGACUAAUGAAGAGAAAUUCUUCCCCUAUCACCAUGUUUAGUUCCAGAUACAGAGUAAUAUGUUUCUUUGUCCCCAAAUGACCAUAUGAAUACCCUCUGAAGGGCACUUCACAUUUCUAUUCUCUAGGAGGAUUUUUUUUAACAACUUGUGCCUUGUGGUCUGUUUGAACAAGAAAUCAUUUUACACUCCUGAGUAACACAUUCCUCUUCAACUAUUUCUACAUAACUUCCAGGAUAUGAAAACCACCCAAGGCUCCCCAACAUGGAUGCUUUCUUUCCUCUCAUAAACAAACUCAGCAGUAAUCAUGCCAUUGUGGUCACUCUAGAGUAUUGUGUUGCUUAAGCUUUUCUCCUCUGUCUUUUGUUCUGCCAGACACUGAUUAUGACAUUUUACCCUAAAUCUGGAAUACAAGAAUAUUCUUCUGCUGGCCUCUUGCCUAUAGCCUUUUCCUUUGUUCUCAAUAAGUAUAUGAUAUCAACAUGAUGGAUCCAGACUUGGUAUGGUAGAUUUAAUAAUGGCUAUCAAGAUAGCAGGCCCU